rnacentral:piRNA from 1 species
UACUUCUUGUGAGUAGCUCUAAUCU